CACUCCUGCGGGAGGCAGCAGUGGGGAAUUUUGGACAAUGGGCGAAAGCCUGAUCCAGCCAUGCCGCGUGCAGGAUGAAGGCCUUCGGGUUGUAAACUGCUUUUGUACGGAACGAAACGGCCUUUUCUAAUAAAGAGGGCUAAUGACGGUACCGUAAGAAUAAGCACCGGCUAACUACGUGCCAGCAGCCGCGGUAAUACGUAGGGUGCAAGCGUUAAUCGGAAUUACUGGGCGUAAAGCGUGCCCAGGCGGUUAUGUAAGACAGUUGUGAAAUCCCCGGGCUCAACCUGGGAACUGCAUCUGUGACUGCAUAGCUAGAGUACGGUAGAGGGGGAUGGAAUUCCGCGUGUAGCAGUGAAAUGCGUAGAUAUGCGGAGGAACACCGAUGGCGAAGGCAAUCCCCUGGACCUGUACUGACGCUCAUGCACGAAAGCGUGGGGAGCAAACAGGAUUAGAUACCCUUGUAGUCCC
rnacentral:rRNA from 1 species